GCUGAUUUAGGUUUAAGGGGUUUGGGUUUAGGAGAGUGCGUGAGGGAAGCGGCGGCUGGCGAUCGAUAGACCGUCGGACGUGCGGCCGCUGGCGGGUUGCAGAGGUCGUGUGGCAGUGGCACCAUCGUUCCAACGACGGGACAGAGGAAGUAGGAGGACGUAGUGUGACGAAUCGGGGGUUUGUGAAGAUUGGGAUCGAGCACGCGACCUCAAGUCCCUCUCCGGUUCCGCGCCACCACCUGCGGCGGCAGGGAGAGUCUAGACCCCGACUCUCUCUCUCCACCCAGUGGACGCUCUCUCUAGUGAGCGUGGGAGCGAGCAGUGGGCCCUCGGCGGUGGUAGCGGCGGUGCGGUACCCGAAGGAGUCUAGACACGGUCGGUCAAGCAAACUUCUCCCUAGACCGGCAACUGACAACCACGAAGGGGAGGGGGCUGCUAGUCGGUACUGAACCCUACCAUGAAGAUAGUUCGUUCGUCACGAAGUCGUUCCUCGAGUUCGAGUUCGUCUUGCAGUUUUUGUCCCAGAGAUAGACGAUUACCCCAUCGGUCGUUACGUCAGAUUCUCGACCGAUGACGAUUACACUAAAGACCUAAACUCUCCUACUCUUGAACUCUUUUUGUUCGAACUACGAUACUAACGUUUUUUUUAAGAUAUGAUGUCCAUAAGGAAAGUCAUAACAACGUCGUUUGGAAUCAAUCGAUUAAAAGAUACGUGACCAACACUAACUAAAGACUUGAAAUCUCGAACACUUAACAUUAAACAAUAAAGUAUCCUAGGAACUUACAAUUAUGUUCCCAUAGGAUGCUUUUAAGUAAUGAAGGAUAUUAGUAUGAUUACAAAGUUUAAAAAUCAAUUCGUAAAAUCUUAAGAACGUUUGUAUCCUCAUAUAAUUUAGAAGUAGGCGAAUUGAUCCACUCUCAACUCUGUGUGGUAUGUAUCCGAGACGUUCGCCCGCCUUUAUCUGGAGAAGCAGCUACUGAAGAUGCUCCUGCUAUAACUGGAUCUCCGACCUCGAAACGAUGAGAAAGGUUGGUUGUUGUUCCCUAGCAAAUGAAAAAUAGAGGGGUGUAGGUCAGGAAGGGACAAGGAUAGGGAGGACGAAUAAAGAACGAUAUCCCAUUGUAUUACGUUCACAAACAAUUUAACAACCAGAGUUACGAGGUAAGAUCGUCUUCCUAAAAGCCAUCCUUCUGUAUCGUAGUUAGUUCCUAAAAACCCACCUUCUGUAUCGUAGUGAGUACCAACAUAUCUAAAUGAUAACAUAAAGACAUAAAAACGUUUUGAUCAAGUCAUUUCGAACAUCGAAUAAAGUCAAGAAUUCACCAAAAUGUGAAUCCGAACAUAACUGAAUGAUGAAUAAAAAAGGUAUUAAAACGUUGUGAUCAAGACAUCAUGUAUCAUGUCAAAAAAUACCUUAGUUCGGUUUUAUGUACAUAUAGAUCGGUAAACAUAAAGAUGUCAGUACGAAGAUUUCUAAAAUAUCAAAAUAAAAGUGAUAUCUAAACGAAGUCAUCAAGACAUUGAAGAUCUUAUCUAGUCAAUUCUCCAAAAUGAGAAUCCGAAUAUAUUUGAAUGUUGUAGAAAAUAAACAUUAAAACCUUGUAAUUAAAACAUAUCGAAAUGAAAUCAAAGACCUUUGUUCUAAUUUAUGCAUACAAACGUUAACAUUAAAUGUCAGUACGAAGAUGUCUCAAAUGUCAUCAUAAAAGACACUUAAAAGAAGUGAUCAAGACAUUUUGCAGAUCUUAUCAAGUGAAGACCUUACUUCUCAAUUAUACAUAAUUAACCAAAAGAUUAAAAUGGAAAAGCGAACAUAUCUAAAGGUCGACAUCAUAAAAACAAUAAAAAGAAGUCAUCAAAAGCUUUUACCUGAUUUAUACUUUUCAACCAAGAUUAAAUAACAGUCAGAAAAAGAUAUCUACAAUGUCAACGUAAAAAGAAUAAUCAAAAACCGUUAAAACGUUACUCUUACCAAAUUGUUGACAUCUGACAAGACCAAAUAUUCCGGUAACAUAGGUACUCCUUUAAACAAUGAAUAAAAACUUAUGUAGAGAAUGACAAAUAGACAUGCAACGUCUCGUUGAGUAUAACCACAUCGAAUCUACGUAAAAUUCUAUACCGUACUUCGAUCGAUUCCAGAAGAUAAUAAAGAUCGUCGUACACUAACUGACUUGUUUUCUUCCUGAGGUGAGUGUAUACUUUACGAACGCUCAAAAAAAUUUCGUUUCCUGGUCGCAACAUCGAUUCCCGAAAUUAAAUAAUAUAAGGUAAACAACGAAGAUUUUGUGAACAUACGUGUAUAUGAUCAAAGAGAACCAAUAGUAUUCACUUGUAAGAAAUCUAUUUAAAGUGGGUCAAAAAAAUUACCCCUUCCUUUCGAAGUACUAUAAGGUAAAUUUCGCGACUAUAGAUAAACUUUUAAUUAAAUACACGUAUGGAGGAGCUGGAUUGUCAUAAAAAGAUGACAUAUCCUCUUUAGAAGAGUCAAAGACUUAGGACUCGUCAUCGUUCAGUCCACGAAUUACCACUAGGAUGGUACGUAUACCGUAUUCGUUCAAUCAAGAUUUUUCCAGUAACAAUUAAACGGGUGUAGACAGGGCGUUAACACUGUUGAAUCACAUCACUCUAGUCUCCUGCCAGUAGUUAAAUUAGAUUAAACACCGUGAUUUCAUAUCUACGAAAAGAGACUACGAAAAUACUUAUAUUAUCAGUCUACGUCAAAUUCAAGUCUAUGAAAAACUGAAAAACAAACCAUAAAACGUACAGGAGUACACGAAUCAUGGCGUAAAUCUUUACUAAAGCCUAUCUAAGAAGAGUAACUUUAAGUAAAGAUUGCAUCCCUUUCACACAUAUUGGAGGACUACAUACACCCUAAAACUCUUACGAAAAGGGUCCGGUACGACGUGAGUAGUAACUUUGAAGAUCAACACAUAAUCUAUCAUUAGUAAAAACGGAUUACAUAACGACAGAUCACGUCGUUUCACGCCAGAAAGGUGGGGUCUCUUCUUUUUCUUUCUCUUGAUCACGUCAGAAAAGAAGUUUUUACUGAAAGUACACAGGGAACCACCUACACAACGAGGGUUAUUAACCCACAGACCUGUACGAUUUAACAACGGAACACCGGUCUACUACGUAUACGAGGAAAAGGUAAAUUAUAUGAAGUACCAGACGCCUAACUCCUCUAAGUAUGUCCGAUAUACCACCCAGCCACACCGUAAGUACGAAAUAAUACAGAUUGGGUAGUGUCUAAGAUUAAUCUUGUACGGGACAUAAAUAUUAUGAUUUAGGGUCAAACAAAAACGGUAACCGCGAAAUAUGUUAAUAGUAAAAAGGUAAUAGAGGUACUUCCGCACUUAAGUGGCCAGUGGGAAAAUAGGAAACAUCCUUACUGUAUGUUCUCCUUGUCCUUCAUUCGUACUUCUACCGUCAAACACAGUCGAUCCGUAAAACACAUUACCUCGUUUUAGUAACACAUAAAAUAGUAAAACAUUUGGAUAUACCACAGAACAGUUAACCCAUAAAACACAUUACCUCGUUUGUUACUUUGUAACCUGUACGUAGAAAGUAAAACAUUGGUUA
rnacentral:rRNA from 1 species